rnacentral:rRNA from 1 species
UACGAAGGGGGCUAGCGUUGCUCGGAAUCACUGGGCGUAAAGGGUGCGUAGGCGGGUCUUUAAGUCCGGGGGGAAAUCCUGGAGCUCAACUCCAGAGCUGCCUUUGAUACUGAGGAUCUUGAGUUCGGGAGAGGUGAGUGGAACUGCGAGUGUAGAGGUGAAAUUCGUAGAUAUUCGCAAGAACACCAGUGGCGAAGGCGGCUCACUGGCCCGAUACUGACGCUGAGGCACGAAAGCGUGGGGAGCAAACAGG